UCGCAUCCGCCAACCGGUUCAGCCGUGUCGCGGAAGGUUUACCAACCAGCUCAUGUCUCCCUCAGGGAGACGGAGGUCAGCG
rfam:Comamonadaceae bacterium SCN 68-20 ABT02_C0052, whole genome shotgun sequence.